rnacentral:rRNA from 1 species
UCUGAUGACGACCGGUGCACGGGUGCGUAACGCGUAUACAAUCUGCCUUAUACUGGGGUAUAGCCUUUAGAAAUGAAGAUUAAUCCCCCAUAGCCUCUUUUAAUGGCAUCAUUACAAGAGUAAAGGUUACGGUAUAAGAUGAGUAUGCGUUCUAUUAGUUUGUUGGUGAGGUAACGGCUCACCAAGACUGCGAUAGAUAGGGGCCCUGAGAGGGGGAUCCCCCACACUGGUACUGAGACACGGACCAGACUCCUACGGGAGGCAGCAGUGAGGAAUAUUGGACAAUGGAGGCAACUCUGAUCCAGCCAUGCCGCGUGCAGGAAGACUGCCCUAUGGGUUGUAAACUGCUUUUAUACAGGAAGAAACCUUGGUACGUGUACCAAGCUGACGGUACUGUAAGAAUAAGGAUCGG